CCCCCCCCCCCCCCCAUAUCUUCCUCCCACCUCACCAAAAACUGCAUAUGCAACCUACGCUCAUCAUAAUCCUUCCUUUUGUAGCAAAAAUUGUGUUCAAUCACCUUCAUCCUCACUCUUAUUUCUUACACAAAGCCCUAAUUUUUUUUCUUCCUUCUCGAAUUCACAUAUAAAUUGGUGAAAUUAGAAGGUUCGUCCAUGUGAUCACAAUGCAUUUAACAUAAAAGAAGAGACGGAUGUGAAAUCAAGCAACGAUGGUGGGUGGCCCAAAUUUUGGAGGGUGGAUUAUGAUGGAGGGCCACCCUCACUUUUUUCUUCAUUCUAAAACAUAUAUUACAUGAUGGAGGGUGGCCCAAAUUUUGUUUGGGGUUUUCAGCAGGUGAACGCUCCUCCAUAAAUCGUACUCCAUUGCUGGAAAGUAUCAGGUGAACGCUUCAAUCAAACGUGUUUUGGAUUAUCUGUGGAACCCAAUUCGAGUUUCCAAGUGCAGUUCUAUCAACCCCCACUACCCAAAAUUGCGCUACACUUUUCUUAUAGAAAACAUACAUCCAACACUCUGGUUCUCUAGACGCAGAAGGGGAAGAGCAAGAUUCGAGAGCUGACUCUUCGAGAAAUUAGCGACAUUAAGGUAUACUUUGAUUGCAUACACAGUUGAUUAGGGAAUAAUAUUGCUAUUGUCCUUGUAUGUCUGUUGUUUUAGCCAUCACUAUCAUCUUCUUCAGCAGCAAUUUCGUUAGCAUGAAAUUAGUUUAUUCGAUUGGCAGCAGGUGGCAACACAUAGGUAGAGCAUCCACUUCAACUGUUAUAAGGUAACAAAUAAUUUUUUCCAUGUAAUUUUUUAUUUUUUUGUAAGUUGUUUGUUGUUGGGAUUUGAAAAUUUUACUGAAAUACGAGGCGGGUGUGUUUUAUUUCUAUUUUUGAUGAUAGAAGGUACUUAUGUUUGAUAUUGAGAUAUGCUAUUGUAUGAUUUUGAUGUGAAGACUCAGAAACUAUGAUAAUGUAGUUAGAUAAUCAAUAGAUUAAAGCUACACAAAGUUGGAUAAUUUCCCUUUAUCAAGAUAUUUGUAGACCUGCCUGUUCAAAUAUUAUCAAAGCUGGAUUAGGAUUAUUUCACUUUAUAGACCUGUUUGUUCAAAUAUGAUUACUUUUUGGAUAAAUCUGAUGGUUAUGUGUAGGGGUGUAAACGAGCCGGGCCGAGCCCGAGCUCGACCAGGCUCGAGCUCGGCUCGUUAGGUUUUUAUGAAGCUCGAGCUCGGCUCGGUUCGAGCCUAUUUCUUUGAGCUCGAGCUCGGCUCGCGAGUAAAACCCAAAGCUCGAGCUCGGCUCGAACUAUUUUGAGAACAACCUUAAACGAGCUAAAAGCUCGGCUCGAGCUCACUUCAACAUCGCUUAAACGAGCCAAAGCUCGGCUCGAGCUCGACUCAUCAAUGUUAUCAUCAUUAUUAAUAUAUUAUAUAUAAAAAAAUUAAAAUUUUGUAUGGGCUCGUUUAGGCUCGCGAGCCUAAACAAGCUUUGUAUUUCAGGCUCGGGCUCGGUAACAAAACGAGCAUUAUUUCAGGCUCGAGCUCGGGCUCGGGCUCGUUAAGACUCGGCUCGUUGGAGCUUUUAACCGAGCCGAUCACGAGUAGCUCUCGAGCAUCUAGGCUUGUUUACACCCCUAGUUAUGUGCCUGGGAUGUUUGAUCUGAUUUUAAAUAAUAUGUUUGCUUUUGAAUUUGACAACCGAGAAAAAGAAUGGGCAAUAAUAAAAAUUGUAUGUUGAGUUUGAUCCCAAACUUAUGGUAUCUUUCGUUUAUAGUCCCAUGUUUAUAUUAACAAUAACUCAAAAUUAUUCUACUGUAAGACCACGAACAGUUUAGGUUUUGUACCAAAAGCUUUAAGUCCUUUUUCUUAAUAAUUCACAAUUUAGUAACUGAUUACACUUUGAAUGUUUUUAUCGUAGUUGAUAUAAUUCAAUUAUAGAAUUUGACAAAAUUGUGGACCAUCUUGCAACUGUAGAUCGUGGGGUUAAUGUUGUUUUAUUUGAAAGAACUGAGAAAACACAUUUUUAAAAAGUGAGAGACACCCAAAAGCGACGAGGUCUAAAACUGAGGCGUGAAGUGCAAAAGCGGCAGGCUUUUCGUACCCAAGGCGCAAAGUGAGUAUAUAAAAUAUAUUACAACAGUUUGAUGCAUAAAGACAACGUAAAAACACCCUAGGUACAAGAGGCGCGCUCCUCAGGUCAGAAAAGCCGUCCAAAAUUGCUCUUUUUGGUGCUUCUUGUAAGAAGCACGCCUCGGGCUAUUAAAGGCGCAAAGGCUUGCGCCUCGCGCGUCAGGCGCACUUUUUAAAACCCAGAAUAGGAUGUGGUGUUAUAGAAGAGUUUAAGGAGGAAUAGAUUGUUUCCACAACCCACACCCUGAAUUUCAUUAUAUAACCGAAUUCCAAAGUCAUGAGCCAAAGGUAUGCAUUAUCUCCAUCUUUUUCUUGUAACAAAAUUAGAUUCCUUGUGGUUCGUUUCAUGUGAAUUAAUUCUACUGUUGGUGCUUGUAUCUUCGGUUUGACUAUCUAAAAAGCUUGGAAAUUGAGGAGAAUAUCAACUAGAUCAGAUGGUGUUACAGAACUAACUACGCUAUGUUUUUGCUGUCCUUUGAUUAUAAAACUCUAAAAUUCUUUAAGGUACGGGUUCUAGAAAAAAGGUCUGAUAGUAUUAUAGUACUAUUGUAAUAGGUUGCCAUAUAAUGUUUUUUUAUAUUAUACACGGUCUAAGGUGGCAUCAUGGGGGUUGGGUGGGUCGCGUAACCUGUUAAAACGGAUACUAUUUUUUGGGUGGUUCCAAGCAUGUUGGAUCGGGUGAGUUGACCUGUGAUUACAGAAACUAUUAUUAGUGUAAUAUUUUAAUUUUUAAUAGAAUUAUCUAAGACUUUCUUUGCAUUGAAGGGUCGAAACUGGUUUUUUUUUUCUUUUGUGGAUUAGAUGGGUCGCGUAACCUUUCCCGAUUGCAACACCAACACGUUGUGUGUUACCAUCAGGUAAGUUUCUAUGCUGUCCUUUUUCACAAUAUAUAAGAGGUAGUAAAAUGGGCAGGACUAACAAGGCCAGAAGGUGCAACUUUUUGUUACAGGUCAGGUCUAAACGAACGCUUUUUAUGUGUGAAUUUAUUAAAUUUCUUUGCAAAUAAUUACUAUUUGGCACAUUUCGUUUUAAGUUAUAUUUUUACGUGUUUGGCCCGUUUGAGAUGAAACAUAGCUUGAAUUUACACUUCCAUAAGUGAAUGGGUCAAAGUUAGAAGACUGUUAUAUACUACAUCAAGUAGAAUGCCAUGUAAAAUAUGAUCAUGUCACUAGCUUUUGAAGGUGACUCAUAUGUAUUUUUCUAAAAUAAUCCAGGCAUGGUUUGCAACAGGAGAUGCAGGUUGUAAUGGUGAUGCCACAUGGGGUUCAAGGUCGGUGGUCAUCACAGCCACGUAGACUUUGUAUUCAAAAGACGAAAUUUAAAUAUAUACAUGGAUGGAUGCUACACUUCAUGAGCUAACUAAUCUGGUCUCAAUCCAAAUCAGCAGUUACGUAGGGUUGGGAACUAGCUCUACUCGAUUGUCCACUUAAUAUAGAUUAUCUUUGUUUUGUUUGUUACGAUGUCAACGUAACCCGUCCACUAGACGGAUAUUAAACUAGUUUAGUGUGUUAGAUUUAUAUAUUAUUUGUUAUUUAAAAUAUGUUCUGUUUUUUAUAAUCUAAUUUUAAUUAAACCUUAAAAAUGUAGUCAUUCGUUUAAUAAAAUGUGGUGUGAAUGGUUUUCUAAAAA